CACAAGAAGAAUCAUCUUUGUCUUUGUGCCAAGACCAGGAGCCAUAUAUAAAUGCUAGAAGGAACCAGUUGUGAUGAAAAUAAUUAGUAAUGUAUCUUCUUCCAUUUAAUUUGCUAUUUUUUUCUUCCACUUAGUGGAGUUAUUAGAACCUUGACAUGGGUUUUAAUGACUAAAUCAUGAUGUUUCUUGAUGAUCUUGUAAUUAUACAUCAAUGUUGAUGAAUGUGUACUUAUAAAAGCACUUUAACAAGGGAGAUUUUAUUUUUUUGUCUGGAGUAUCGAAUUAGUAAGGGAGUAUAAAUGAUUCAAUAACUAAGAAAAAAUAUAUUGUGAAUAAUUGUUGCACACAACAAAUGACAGGUUGCUUAACAAGUACUUCCCUUGUGAGAAGUCCAAUUAACAAGCUUGAGAAGGAUAUCAUUAACUUUCCUCAACCCUUUCUCGAGUGCUUUCAAGAUAUGCUUUAGAGGUGUACCCAAAUCAUGGCUUCCUGAACAACAAAUAAUCCAAAUUUUCUACAGUAGGCUCUCCUCCUAAAAAAUAAGACAAGCAUUGAUGCUUUUUAUGUGGGAACCAUACUAAAGAAAUCAUUUGUCGAGGCCUUUGCUAUCAUUAAAGAUAUUGCCUCCAACUGUUACUAGAGGGAUAUAUAUAUAUAUAUAUAUAUAUAUAUAUAUAUAUAUAUAUAUAUAUAUAUAUAUAUAUAUAUAUAUGCCCUCACAAAUUGCAAAUACUAAUUUGUUAAGAAUUAAUCGAAUUGAGGCUAUAGCAUCAUCAUUAGCUGGAAUUGAAAUAUCGGCGAGGUCCGGGUCACAAUUUGUAUCGAUUAAACAAAUUGUUGGAAUUUCCAAAGUUAUACAUUCUCGAAGAGCCGUAUAUUCUUCUUGUUGAUCGACGAUUAUUACAAUAUCAGGUAACCCCGUCAUAUAUUUAAUGCCGCCAAGAUAUGUUUCCAAAUGAGCUAAAUGUCUCUUCAAUAUAGCGGCAUCUCUUUUUGAAAAACUAUUGAGUCUCCCCGUCUUUUGUUGCAUUCUCAAGUCUGUGAACUUUUGAAGUUGUGUUUCUGUAGUAUACCAAUUCGUUAACAUACCGCCGAGCCACUUUAUAUAUAUAUAUCAGAUUGAGGGCAAGAGCAAGUUUGAAGUACAAAAAGUUGGAUGCUAUAACAAAAAUAGUUAGAUACUCUAAUGCUGGCACAGUCUUAGUUUAUGAUUGCAAAUCCCCCUCUCCUUCUGAUCAGUGUUUAUUGAUAGGGCACGAAAAUUAAACAAGGAUUGUCAAAUGAGUAAUUUCUUUGCUAAGCCAGCUUAGAAGGCCAAUUGUGUAGGCAAUUUCCUUAGAGGCCAUAAUAACCCCUAUUCCCCAAAACCCAAUUCCCCUUCAACAUGCAUGAGUAGCUCCCCCUCCAUGUUUUGGCAACAAUUGUCCCUUCGAACCCGUGGUGGUUGUCCCUUCAAACUCGCAUAGAUGAUGGCGAGACGCUCAACCUCAACUUCACUAAACUUGUAUGCAAGUGACAUGUGUGAUGUGUUGCAUAUCACCAAAUGGAAAUAUAAACCGAAUAAUGUUGACAUUGCAAGAGACAAUGGACAAUUGAUGUAUAAGUUCUAAACGUUAGAUGUGCAUGUUUUGUAUGUAGUUGAAGGGGAUGAGGGAAGUAGGUAGCAUAAAUUUAUGCUAUUGGGAUGUUGGAUGUCCAGAGAGAAUGAUCUAGAAAUCGAUUAUAGAGGGGUCAAUUCUUUUUAAAAUUGUUUGAAUAAUUAAUUUUUAACAAAUAAUUAAUUAUUUACGAAAUAAUGACUUCUAAAGAAAUAUUUACUAAAUUAGUUUUUUAUUUCAAAUGAUAAUAGUCUUAAACAUUGCUAUAAUAAUAGAUACAAUUAAUUUUAUAGAAUUUUAUAUUAACUAACUUUUUUAAAAAAAUAACCUUAACAAUUGUAAUAAUAACAUCAGAUACAACUUAGUUUUACAUAACUUUAUACUAGUUAUAGCCUUAACCAUUACUGAAAUAACAGCAAACAUAAGUAGUUUAUACAAUUUUAUACUAGUAAACCUUAAUCAUAGUUGUAACUAACACAUGUAAACUAGUUCUACACAAUUUUAUACUAAUCAAUUGUUGGCACCUAAAAUAUAUUUGCAAGCAAUAAAGUUCAACUAAAAUUAGAAAUAGCUUAGGGAUUAACCUGAUGAAGCAGUGGAUGCCUUUAAUUUGUAGAUCAACUGAAGCAAAGAUAGUAAUUUUGUAGAAUUAAUUAGGCUAUUUUGCAAACAAGAGAAGGAAUCACUUUUUUUUUAUAUAAAAAAGAAGUUUCCAAUGAUAAAAAAUCUUGUCUGAGAACCCUCUAGACCAACAAUGAGCUGGACAACUUGUACACAUUGGUUCUGCUUAGCAAUAUUGAUUGCUAAUCGACAAGUCUCUCAUUGUACGUAUUGUGACCAACUUUUUAUCUUUAAAAAGCUUCUAUCGUUUGCCAACUUCACUCCAAUAAAACACUGUACAGUACAAGCUGCUUUUUACUCGAUAUCAGUCAUAUAUAUAUAUGAUCUGAUGGCUUUUACUUUCUGGAUAAACAUUUGAUUACUGAUGGCACCAUACGCUUGCAAGUAUAUAUGGUCGUAAUGGGAUAAAGUCGGAUUCCAGCCGUUGAAAUAUUAUAAUAUAUAUAUAUAUAUAUAUAUAUAUAUAUAUAUAUAUAGAGAGAGAGAGAGAGAGAGAGAGAGAGAGAGAGUUCAAGAAUAAAUUAAUUAAAGUUGAAGUCCGAAGACUAAAAUUAAGUUUUAUAAAAAAUAACAGUAUUAAAUAGUAACAAUAAAAAUAAGACUAGCGCGUUUAAUCCAUAGCAUGAGAUAUACGACUUAAUUUACAAUAAUAUUUAAAUUUAAGGUCAUAAUACAUAUAAUAUAUUUAUCAUUGAAUUAUAAUAUGAUUUUCAUUUAAAAUUCUAUAUUAUUUAUAAUAUUUAAAUUUUAUUUUAUUUUAUACUCGAUCAAUAUUUAAUUAAUAUGAAAAAAGUUUAUUUUUAUUAUUAUUUUCGUUGUGUAGUGAAUAUGUCACACAAAAAUAUUUCAUAAUUUAUUUUAAAUAAAUUUCCAUUAAAUAUAAAGUUAUUUUUUGUUGAGAAAUAUAUUAUAAAAAUAUAUAAUAUAUGACUUUAAUAUUUAUAUAAUAUUAGAAUGGUAAACUCAUUUAAAAUUAGAUGAAUAUUUAUAUUGUACGUAAAUUCACCAAAAAAAAAUCUAUGCAAUUAGUAUAAACUCAAGCAUAUGAUAAUUUUCACAGUAUAAUACCAAAUAUGUAAAUAUUUUUAAUAAUUGAAACAAAAUAGAAAAUAUUUAUUUUAUACAAUUAUUUUAAAAAAAUAAAAACAAGAUUAUUAAGCCUGUGUACUACUACAGUUACACAUAUUAUAUUACAUCAUUUACUUUAAUAUUUUAUGAUUUUAGUAUUUUUACAAUUUGACUUAGAUGGGACUUGAUGUAUCUCCAAAAGCUUGGGUCUUUUUUUUGAAAGAAAUUAAUAGAGUAAAUUGUUAGAUUAAAGAAAACUCAAAUAAAUUUUUGAAGUUUCUUAAGAUUUUAUUAUGCUCUUGAUUUAAUUUCUUUUUUUUAUUUUGAUCUCUAAAGUUAUAUUAUUAUUAUCACUUAAGUUUCUAGAUAAGUAACGACCAAAAUGAAUAGAAAGGUGGGGAAUUUCAGGGGUAUGAAUCAUAAAUAAUCACAUAAGAAAAUUUUACACCACACUUUAACAUAAAAUCUCAAAGUUCAGGUUUAUGUGUUUUCUACUCACUUAUGUAUAAUACUCAACUUUUCCACUUCUAACUGAUGUGAGAUUUCACUUUAGACUUGUACUCCAAGCUACCACUUGUUCUAUGUCUUGCUCUUCGUUUGCUUUUCAUGUUCUUUAUCCAAAACCUCGGCACCUUGAUCAAGAAACCACCCCAUCCUCCAAGUCCUAAAGACCUACCAAUAAUUGGAAAUUUACACCAAUUAGAUAACUCCACUCUUUGCCCACAGCUCUGGCAACUCUCAAAGAAAUAUGAUCCUCUAUUUUCCCUUCAAUUAGGUUUAAGGCCUGCCAUUGUUAUUUCCUCACCUAAACUGGCCAAAGAGGUCCCCAAAAACCAUGACCUUGAGUUUUGUGGACGACCUAAAUUACUUGCCCAACAGAAAUUAUCCUAUAAUAGCUCAGAUAUUGUAUUUUCCCCUUACAAUGAGUAUUGGAGAGAAAUCAGAAAAGUUUCUGUUGUCCAUAUCUUUAGCUCCAAGCGUGUCUGUUUCUACCUUUUCCUCUAUUAGAAAUUUUGAGGUGAAGCAAAUGCUCAAAAAGAUAUCUGGGCAUGCCUCUUCGGGUGUUUCUAACGUGAGUGAAUUACUUAUUUCUCUCUCAAGCACUAUGAUAUGUAGAAUUGUUUUCAGGAGAAGGUAUGACGAUGACGACGAAGGAAGCGAUGCGAGUAGGUUCCAUGGUUACUCAGUGAGUUUCAGGCCAUUUUGGGUGUCUUUUUUGUUUCAGAUUAUAUUCCAUUCACGGGUUGGAUUGAUAAACUCAAAGAAUUGCACGCUCGUCUUGAAGGAAGUUUCAAGGAGUUAGAUAAUUUCUACCAAGAGAUCAUUGAUGAACACAGGGAUCAGAAUAGACAACACGCAGAGGAAAAAGAUAUUGUUGAUGUCAUGCUUCAAUUGAAGAAUGAGAGUUCGCUUGCGUUUGAUCUCACUUUUGAUCAUAUCAAAGGGGUCCUCAUGGUAUGGUGGUGUCUUAAAUCUUAUUCUUACUGUGUGUGUUUAGUUUUAUGUUUGAUUCUAAGUAAUCAUGUGCAAAUAUCAAUUAAUGAUAUUAAAACAAGAGGAAAAGAAUUAUGUUUUAUAAUUUAAAAUUUGUUUUUAGUCAUUCAAUCAUAAUUCAUCAUAUAUGAUAAAUUUAUUAAUUUUUAAAUAAUUAUUUUAAAAUAAUUUAAACGAUAAUUUAUGAUUAAUAAUUAUAUAAAACUUUUUUUACAAUAUCGGUGUAAAUACAUUAAACUCUUAAAACAUAGACUUAAAUAUAUUUUUUGUUCUUACAACUUAAUGCUUUUUUCAUUUUCAUUCCUACAAAAGAAUAUCGAUUUAGUUUUUACAAAAUAUAUUUAUUGUAUUUUUUAUCCUUUGAGCCCUUUAAAUAUUGUGUUUUCACUGUUUAAAAUAUUUCCUUUUACUAUUUAAAGUGUUUUAAGAAUAAAAAAUAAAAUAAAUACAUUUAGGAAAAAAAAUACAUUAAAUUACAUGAAAAAAAUAUAUAUUUAAGUCUAAAACAAAUAUUCAUCUUUGGUUUCAAGUCGGGGGACUAGUUAUGGUUUGAAAUAAAUUUAGUUAACUUUUGUUGGAUACAAAAAUUCAUGUUUUGCGGGACGGGCGACGUUGUUCCACAAGCUUAUCCUCUUGAAGGCGUGCCAAACCGGCGGCUUGAACGAGGGUUAGGGGCUGGAGUGCCUGUACUUCGCGGCGGAUGUCGGGGUCCAAGCCCGAGACGAAACAGCUCAAGAGGAGCGAUGGCGGCAGGCCGACAAUCCUAUUCGCCAGAGCUUCGAACUGAUGCAGGUAUUCAUUAGCUGAACCUCGUUGUGUUAGCUUGAAGAGGAUUCCAGUUGGGUCCUCGUAAGGUGAGUGAGCGAAGCGGGUCUCAAUGGCCUGCAAAAAUCCCGCCCAAGUGGGGAACUGGUGGUUGCGGGUCAUCCACUAGAAUCAAACCAGGGCGGGUCCUUCCAUGGUGAAGGAGGCAAUGGUUAAGCAUUCGGGUUCUGGAGUGGAGUGAUACACAAAAAACUGAGUGAUUUUGAACAUCCACCCCGAAGGGUUAGUGCCAUCAAAUUUAUGAACAUCAAGUUUCAUUUUGGGAGUGUUGAUAAUGGCUGGUUUGGGUACAGGGUUAGGUAAGGAAGAUGAAGGCGAAGCUGAGGAGUGGCUCGGGUUUUCGAGAUUAGCUACUCAAAGGAGGAGAUCCUCUAAUUUUUCAGUAACGACAAUUUGGCUUGAGGCAAGCAGGGAGAUUGCUUCUUCAAUGUGUUCCAAUGGAGAUUUAGCUCGAGGGGAGUCCGCCAUGGGAGAAGGAAAUGAAAGCACCAAAUUUGUUAAGAACCAAAGAACUUCCUAGCAUUCGAGGGCUAGGUGCCUCCUGAGAAAGAGGUGAGAAAAGGAUACUGUAUUAUUGCUUGACCAUUUUGAGUACAUUGUUAGUAUUUAUAUAUAGAACAUUCAAGCAACUAUUCAUCUAACAAUUCCCUAAUGGUCUGUUGGCAUAUUGCCUUGGAGGAAUGAAAAUUGCAAAGCUGCAAAAAGCAAGGUAAUCCUAACGGAUUUGUACUCUCAGCCGACAGGGUAAUUCCAGGGGCACCACUACCAUCAGGAGCACUACUGCCAGCUCAUCCUUUGCUCCACUACUUGCUCACGAAGUCCCUGAGGUACUGUGAUUUGUGAAUUUCCCUCUUUAGCCUUUGUCCUUCUCCUUUCUUUGUCACAUAGCUUGCUUCUGCAUUCCCCUGUUGCUUCCUUGCUGCUUGUUGUUCUAUGUCUGCUUCUGCUGCCUUUUCUGUUUAUGUGUUUCUGCUCUUAACACAACCCUUGAAACUUUUUGGAGACACUACCAUGAAUAUUCAACCCUAAGAUACUUCUAGAUAUCUGCUAAAGCCCAAACAUUCAUUAAUUUGGUCACAAACUUAAGUCCUACAUUUCUAGAGAAAAAUAUUUUAGGUUUCUCCAUGUUAUAAGUUACGCUCAAAGGCUGAUCAAACGGAGAUGCUUGAUAGAGCACAUGGGUUCCACCUUAGGAAUUAGGGCAAUGAGAGUACUGUUAAGACUCUUGAUCCUCGAAGGGUCCUUAAUCAAAGUAUUUUCAAGCUUGCACAUAGAUUCCCCACUGUUUGCCAUUGAAAUUGAUAGAACACACGAGCUUCAAGCCAUCUUCACCUGGGGCUUUAAAUGCUACCGUGUGCACUAGGGCAUUUUGAAUCUCACUCAACAAAAAAAAAUCUACCCCUCUGCAUGUACCUUUCCAUAACCCAUGCAUAUCCUCAUAUGUGACAACUACAUAUAGCAUGUACAACUUUGAACACGAUUAAGCUAAAAUAAUUCACACUUAUCUUUCCGUUGAGAUAUUUUCCUAGCUAUGUUUGAAUUGCCUCAUCCACCUACUAUGUAUUAAGUUAACCACCAACAAAACCCAAACCCCACAUAAAAGCAUUGAUCAAAGUUCAAACUUCAAAGACACACUUCAUAUCUCUACACCCUCUUUUAAUUUAUUCGUUUCAGAACCGUGGAGCCCAAUUGAUAAGAAAACAAAACCCAAAAAUUGACCGAAUUUAAGUGCUAUCCGUCCUCCAUGAAACAUUCGUCGUUGAAUAAAUAGCCAUGUUACCAUCGAAGACACACACUCCUUUCUCAUUCCUCUCAAUACUUACAUUAUUUUUUUUACUUAAGACUUGGACAUUCUUUUGAGUUUUGAAUCCGACAUGAGAUGGGGCAAUCAAAACCAAAAAAAAACUUGCUAUGAUCCACAGCUAUGAACUUAUUUUACCACUUUAACGAUGUGAUCCAACUUCAUUUUUUUCUUUGAAUAAGGAAAUUAUUAGCUCUCGACUCUCCAUAUUGCCUAAACCACACAUACUGUCAUCUUAAUUUAUUAUUAUAAUUACCACUUAUAAAACCAUAAAUCGAGAAAAGUUAGAUUGAAAAUUUUUGUGAAAUGCUCAAGCAAUACUACACUCUAGAGAAAAAAAAUACAUUAAAAACCGUAAAGUUUGUUUUAAUUUCAAAAUUGCGACCGCAAUGCUUUCUACAUAGGUUGUAAUAGAGACUACAUAUUCCGUGAAAAUCUAUUUACAGACAAGAAGUGACUACACUUGACUCUUUCCAUAACACCAACACAAAAAAUUGGACACUGACACACACGAGCCCGGGCUUAAACACAGAAAAAAUGUUGACAUUACAAUAGGUUGGAUGCGUAUGAACCAUGCAAGGCGUCAACACUAGUGACUCCACGCACACAACACAAGGAGUUAACUGUGUUUAUGCCACCCAUCCUCACGUUGGUAAAUGUCAGAAACGAACCUGAAAAUGUCAAAAACGAAUUGGACUUUUUGAAUAGCGUCAUUAUAUUUUAUGCUUUAGUAUGGGGUGUUGCUAGGUGCACUAUCACUUGAAAAUGCCAGAAAUGCCCCUGCAAUGUUUCGUUGUGGGGAUCAACUUGAUCCACGAAAGACUCCUACGGAUCAAGUUAAUCCGUGUAACAGAGGCGAACCAAACGCGGAUCAAGUUGAUCCGUGAGUUUUCCAUAGAUCAACUUGAUCCACAAGCAUUACAAGGAUCAACUUGAUCCGCGAGUUUUCCACGGAUCAACUUGAUCCGCAGGAGACUGAAUUUUUUUAAAAAGUUUAACUUUAUUGAAACGUAAAGCACCACCACCACGGAUCAACUUGAUCCGCAGCUUUAAAAUCUACAUGCGAUCAAGUUGAUCCGUAAAGCACCACCACCACACUGUCAAAUGCCAGUCGAGGAGAAUGCGCAAGGAAGAAGCAGAGUAGAGCAGCACAACAUCACCACCACCAAGCAUUUUAAAGAAGCUUGCGGAUCAAGUUAACCAAAUCCUAUUUUUGAGCUACUUAGAGCCAUUUUUUUGGAUAAAUGAGUUGAUCAAAUCCCAUUUGGGAUUUCUUAGGGGAUUCCUCCUUCAAUUUCGAGCGUUUUGACAUAUUAUGAGCCUCAAACGAACAUUUCUAUCAAAAGUUACAACCAUUUUAAGCUUACGGAUCAAGUUGAUCCGUAAAAGACUUACGGAUCAACUUGAUCCGUAAGUCUUAAAAAUCAACUCGCGGAUCAACUUGAUCCGCAAGUCACUUGCAAAUCAUCUAUAAAUGAAAGAGAGAAUGAAAAAUAUAGUAGAAAAAAAUGUAUUAUUUGAGUGUAUAAAAUAUGAAAGAAAGAAUUCUAUUUUUUCUAUAAAUGAAAAAGAGAAUGAAAAGAUAAAAUAAUUUUUUUAAAAAAAGUUAUAAUAAUUGUGGAAAAAAACUCAAAAAAUUAAACUUCAUCCCCUAUUACUUUUAAAACAGAUGUUAUCAAAUUUUAUUUAUUUAUUUAAGAAACAAUAAAAAGAGAAAUAUUCUCCCCUGUUUCAUGCAAGGAAAAUUUUUCUUGUAGGUGCCACAAACAACUUAUCACUUUUGUACUUUUAUUUUAAAUGAAUAAUACAAAUUUAGUAUUCAUUCAUUAGAUCUAUCCUUUCCAUUCAUUUUUUUAUUUAUUCUCAUAAAAAGAAUGAAAUGUGUUAGAGACACAUUUGUAGUUUUGUUAAGUGUGCAUGAAACAGAAAGAUGAAAUUGUUUUGAUUAAUUAGCUUUAUAUACAUAAGUUGAUGUGGUAUUAUACACGAAAUUAGCAUAAGAAUUAAACACGGUAGAUGUGAUGUUAUAUUUAUUUACUUAUUUAUCUGUUUAUUGGGCAACAAGACAAAAGAAAAGAAAAGUCAAAAUUAUACAAUGCAUAUUCCUUUGUGAGCACAAUAGAUGUGACAUUACAUUGAGAUUAGGAGUGUCUUAGUAGUAUAAAAAUAAAUCACUGCAAAAUUUAAUGUUAAAUUAUUAUUUUUGGAAAUAUAGUGUUAGAUUAUUAUAUUCGAUAAAAUCGUUAAAUUUUAGAAUACCAGAUUUAAAGAUGUUGGGCUGUGAACAAAAUCCAUAAGGAAGUUUAUUCUAUUAUUUUUCUUCUGUUUUGUCCUUUGCCUAUAUAAGGCAAGGAUGCCCUGUAUUUCGAGGAUAGGAUAAGCUUCCACUUAUAUACUGCAACCAUAAUAAAAGGCUUUCUGUUUUUCCCUUCCGUGGAUGUAGCCUUACUCAAGGUGAAUCACGUAAAUCUGUUUGUGUGUUCUUUCUCGUCUCUUUCUCUUUGAAUUCUGCUGCAAUUUGUGUGUAUGAUAAUUCUGUUCUGCUGCAUCUACUGCUGCUGUUCUUGUUUGUUCUUCAUCACUUCCAUAACAAAAUGGUAUCAAGAGCUCAAGUUGCGAUCAAGGGAAUUCAAGAUUCUCGUCUGAAUACGAAGAUCAAGCUGUGGGAGUCUUGUUUUUGGUUCUUUCGCUGCUUCUUUGUGAUCAAGAACACUCAAGAAAUCAUGUCAAACACAAUCAGGAUUGAGAAAUUCAAUGGAAAGAACAGCUUCAAUCUGUGGCGCAUCAAGAUGCGAGCUUUGUUGAAGGAACAACGUGUUUGGGCUGUUGUUGCUUCUGCAUCUGUGAAGAAAAAAAUGGCUUCUGAAUCAAAAGAAAAGGCCUCUAUUUCAAAGACUAAAGAACUUGUAGAACAAGAAGAAAAGGCUCACUCACUAAUCUUGCUUUCCUUGUCUGAUGAAGUUUUAUAUGAAGUUGCAAAUGAAGAAACUGCAAGUGGCUUAUGACUCAAGUUGGAAAAGCUGUAUAUGACUAAGUCAAUUUGCAACAAGCUCUUCUUGAAGAGGCGUCUGUUUGGUCUACACAUGAAAGAAGGUACAUCUCUUAAAGAUCAUCUUGAUGAAUUGAAUUCUAUUUUGAUGGAAUUAAGAGAUAUAGAUGUUAAGAUAGAGGAUGAAGAUGCUGCCAUGAUUCUGUUAGUGUUAACUCAUUGGCAAGUGUACCAAAUCGUCACAAGUAAUAAAGUUUUCGAAAGUCCGAGUGUCGAAUCCACAGGGACUUUGUUUGUACUUAGAUUAAUGCAAACCCAAUUUAAAAGCAAGAGAUAAGAAUUUAAAAUAAAAGAUAAAUAAAGAUAGAAGAUAAGGUAAAGAAAAGAUAAGAUAUUUAAAGAUAAAAUUAGAAGUAAAGAUAAGAUAUUUAAAGAUAAAAUUAGAAGAUAAAAGAAAAAGAUAAAAGCUUGAAAGAUCAAAAUAGAAUAUUAAAUUGCGAUAAAGAUAACUACUUCUACGAAAUUCAAAUAAAGUCUAAAUCUACUAAGCCUAACUACUUACUCCUAAUAAAACCCAACAGUAAAAUAAGGAAUAACUACUUCUAAGAAAACCAACAAUAAAAUAAGAAACUUCAAACAAUAAAAUAGGGAAUAAAAUCUAUAUAAUAAAAUUGCUAAAAUCUAACAAGUCUAAUCAGCCUAGAUAUAUGGAUUCAGGAUUUGGCUGUUAUCAAUACUAGCAAACUAAUUAUGCCCCACAUCUAUCCAUCUACUUGCCCCUGGUGCCUCACGAUGACAAGCCUACCUUAAUUACCUAUCUUCCAAAUGCCCUUUGCGAAGACUCAAUAACUAAGAUGUCUUAAGAUUACAUUCAAGAUGUUUGCUAAAGCAUGGACAUUGAGGCAUUAAGUCAUGCUAACCCAAUGAUUUCUUUCUUUAAUUGUUCUAUUAAGCGUUAGCCUCUCCCGAGUGACCUAACCCUUAAAACCGAUUCACGCAUUCAUUCCUUAUCCCUAAUUAGGCUUUACCCUCUCCCGAGUGGCCUAAAGACUAACAGAAAACAAAGUCCGAGAUGCAAAAUAAGCAAGAAAGAAAAAUAGAUAAAAGAAACUAGAAGAAAAACCCUCUAAAAGAUAACCCAAUAAUUUCCUCCUUUUAGUGUUCUCUUAAGCGUUACCCUCUCCCGAGUGGCCUAACCCUUAAAAUAGAUUCAAGUAUUCAUUUCUUACCCCUAAUUAGGCUUUACCCUCUCCCGAGUGGACUAAACCCUAACAGAAAGCAAGUUCAGAGAUACAGGAUGUAAAAAGAAAGAACGGUAAAUAAAUAAAGAACCUGGAGGGAAUUCCUCUUUUUAUUGAUAACUCUUGAAAUGCUCCAUACAUCAUUAGCUUUUUAGGCCUGCCAGACCCUAGCUAGGGGGAUUAUCCACUCAUGGUCAUGAGGGCUUUACAAUGAGAGGAGGGGUGAAAGAAAGAAAGGGAGUAAAUGAAACCCCUAGGAGAAGGGGUUCUGUGGUGGUGUGUUCUGUCCCUUGGACUGACUCACUAUUUAUAGCUGCUGAAGUGGGCUUUGGGCCUUCGUAAGCGCGCUUAGCGCGACACUCCGUGCUUAGCGCGUGUACUUCCUGGCCCGCUUAGCCCAUGACGCGUGCUGAGCGCGCGUAUUGGGUUGGGCCUUCUUCAAAUUUUUUUCUUUUCUUCAAUUUUUCUGCCCUUUUUGCUUGUUACACCUCCAUUUUAUAUCUGCACCCAAAAAUUCAAUUUAAUUAAUUUUCUAACUUUUAAUCACAAAUAACUGCUAAAUAAUUAAUUUCAGGCCAAUAUUUGACUAAUUUUCUACUAUCAAAAUACAAUUAUUUAGUAGUUAUCAGUUAGCCUCUCUACCACCAUCAUAUGAGAGCUUUGUCAAUUCUCUUAGUGUUGGUAAGGAAUGUGUCACCAUGGAGGAGGUGAAAUCCAGCUUAUACUCAAGGGAACUUCGAUCUAAAGCACCUAGAAAUUCUGAAGAAUCAAAUGGAUAUGGUCUUGUUGUCUCUAACUCUAACAAGAACAUCAAGAAAAAGAUGUUUAAAGGAAAGAAGAAGACUCAUGUCAAUCCAAAGGAUAUCUGUAAUUACUGCAAGGAGCCAGGUCAUUGGAAGAAAGAUUGUCCUAAGAAAAAGGGCAAACCAUCUGCUGCUGUUGCCAAGGAAGGUUCCACAUCUGAAAAUGAGCUUGUUCUCUUAGUUGCCGAUCAUCACCAACAUUCUAAAAAUCAGCGGAUAUUAGACUCUGGCUGUUCCUUUCAUAUGUGUCCUAACAAAACCUGGUUUGACACCUAUGAAGAGAAAUCGGGUGGAAAGUCUUCAUGGGAAAUGAUGUCUCAUGCAAGACAAUUGGAAUUGGUACAGUAAAAAUCAAGAUGCAUGAUGGAAUUAUCCAAACGCUCACUGAAGUUAGGCAUGUUCCAGAACUGAAGAAGAACCUAAUCUCUAUAGGUAUUAUGGAUGGAAAGGGGUUCAAAUGCAGCACUGAAAAUGGGGUCAUGAAAAUUCAGAAAGGCUCUACAAUGGUAAUGAAGGGUAUAAAGAGGGGUAAUCUCUAUAUACUUCAAGGUACAACAUGUGUUGAGGAUGGUCUAUUUGUUGUUGCAUCAAGAUCAAAUAAGAACAUACCUGACUUAACUCAAUUGUGGCACACGAGGCUAGGUCAUAUGAGUGAAAAAGGUAUGAUGAUACUUCAAAAACAGCAGCUGUUGGGAAAUCAAAAACUGGAUGAACUAAAAUUCUGUGAGCACUGUGUUUUUGACAAGCAACAUGGGAUUAAAUUUCCUAAAGCAAUUCACACCACCAAAGGAACUCUUGAUUACAUUCAUGUUGAUUGUUGGGGGCCUACAAGAGUACCUUCUCUAGGUGGUGGCAGGUAUUUUCUGUCCAUAAUUGAUGACUACUCAAGAAUGACAUGGAUCUACAUCAUGAGUCAGACGAGUCAAGCUUUCAAAUGCUUCAAAGAAUGGAAAGCACUGAUUGAAAAACAAACUAAAAGGAAAGUUAAAAGACUCAGAACUAAUAACGGCUUGGAGUUCUGCUCAACAAAAUUUAACAAAUUUUGCUGAGAUGAAGGGAUUGCUAGACAGCUCACUGUUAGGAACACUCCUCAGCAAGAUGGAGUUCCUGAAAGAAUGAACAGAACACUCCUGGAAAGAAUAAGAUGCCUAUUGUCUAAUGCUGGUCUCAACAGAAGUUUUUGGGGAGAAGCUAUCAAUACAGCCUGUUUUCUGAUCAAUAGAACACCCUCUACUGCUAUAGGACUUAAAACCCCUAUUGAAAUCUGGAAUGGCAAAACAGCAAACUACUCAAACCUAAGAGUAUUUGGCUGCAAUGCUUAUUAUCAUGUCAAUGAAGGAAAGUUGGUACCUAGAUCAAGAAAGGGUCUGUUCAUGGGUUAUAGUGAUGGGGUGAAAGGCUAUAGGAUCUGGUCACCAUCUGAAAGGAAAGUUCUUCUCAGUAGAGAUGUAAUUUUAGAUUAAUCACAUCUGUUUCAUCCCAAGCUUGAGGUUUCAAUUGCUGGAACACAGAGCUGCCACUCUCCUCAAGAAAAGGAUGUAGAAUCUACAGCCAAAGACUCAAAAAAAGGGGGUCAUUCCGAAACAUCUCCUGUGGUUCUUCAAGAAUGUGAGAAAUUAGAAGAUUCCAGUGCAAAUGAGUCUCAUUUGACUGUUGAACCUGAUCCUCCACAGCUCAAUUCUGGAGUCAAUCAGAGACCAAAAAGGGUCACUAAACCUCCUGAAAGAUAUGGUUUUGAAGACAUGGCUGCCUAUGCAUUACAUGCAGCUGAAGAAAUAGAUUCAAAUGAACCAGCCACUUACCAAGAAGCUAUCAAUCAUCCUGAAGUUGAAAAUUGGUUGUUAGCUAUGAAAGAGGAAAUGGAAUCUUUAUAUAAGAAUCAGACCUAGAAACUUGUUGAACUACCUAAAGGAAGGCAUGUGGUAGGUUGCAAGUGGAUAUACAAGAGGAAACCUGGUCUUUCAGAAAAAGGAAGGGAUAAGAUACAAGGCUAGGUUAGUUGCCAAGGGAUUCAGCCAGAAAGAAGGAGUAGAUUUCAACGAAAUCUUUUCACCUGUUGUCAGACAUACAUCCAUCAGGGUUCUGCUUGCUAUUGUGGCAAACCAAGAUCUGGAACUUGAACAACUUGAUGUCAAGACUGCUUUUCUCCAUGGAAGAUUGGAAGAAAAUAUUCUAAUGAAAUAGCCUGAAGGGUUUGAAGUUCAAGGAAAAGAAAGGUAUGUUUGUCAACUACAGAGGUCCUUGUAUGGUUUGAAACAAUCUCCAAGGCAAUGGUACAUGAGGUUUGACAGCUUUAUCACCAGCCAAGGAUUCAAGAGAAGUCUCUAUGACUGUUGUGUUUAUCACAACAAGGUGGAGGAUGGAUCAAUGAUCUACUUCUACUCUAUGUAGAUGGCAUGCUUAUUGCAGCAAAAAACAUGUGUGAUAUACAAAAUCUGAAGAUCUUCCUGAAUGGUGAAUUUGAUAUGAAAGACCUAGGGGCUGCAAAGAAAAUCUUAGAAAUGGAGAUCUAUAGGGACAGAACUCAGAAAAGGCUAUUUUUGUCUCAAAAGGAUUACAUUCAAAAGAUACUUGUAAGGUUUGGAAUGGCUGACUCUAAACCUAUCAGCACUCCCCUUUCAGAAAAAGAAAAGUUGUCUGCUGUGAUAAAGGUUCAAGCUCAAGCUGAUCAGGACUAUAUGUCAAAGGUUCCAUACUCAAGUGUUGUUGGCAGUCUCAUGUAUGCCAUGGUCUGCACCAGACCUGACCUUGCUUAUGCUGUUAGCAUGGUCAGUAGGUUCUUAAACCAACCUCGGAAGGAACAUUGGAAGGCUGUGAAGAGAAUUUUCAGAUAUCUUAAAGGGAGUGCAGAUGUAGGUUUGAUCUAUGGAUCUCACUCAGAUUGCUACCUCACUGGCUAUUCUGAUGCAGAUUUUGUUGCUGAUCUUGUCAAGAGAAGGUCAUUAACAGGGUAUGCUUACACCUUUGGUGGCUGCUUGGUGAGUUGGAAGGCAACACUUCAACCUUCUGUUGCCCUCUCAACUACUGAGGCUGAAUAUAUGGCUCUUACUAAAGCUGCAAAGGAAGGAAUUUGGCUGAGAGGUAUGAUAAAUGAUCUUGGAAUGAAUCAAGAAUAUGCUAACAUCUAUUGUGAUAGCCUUAGUGUUAUAUGCUUGGCCAAGGAUCAGGUUCAUCAUGAUAGAACCAAGCAUAUAAAUGUUAGAUAUCACUUCAUUCAGUCAGAAAGAAGAAUCAAAGUUCAUAAAAUCAGCACUCUGCACAAUCCUGCUGAUAUGUUCACAAAGCCAGUUCCAAAGAGCAAGUUUGAUCACUGCUUAAGCUUGCUCAAUGUAGAUUGUUGGGGUUAAAAUCAUGUGUGUUUGGAGGGUGCAGUUUGUGUUUUAUAUGGAUGUUGGUUCAAGGUGGUGAAUUGUUGGGCUGUGAGCAAAAUCCAUAAGGAAGUUUAUUCUGUUAUUUUUCUUCUGUUUUGUCCUCUGCCUAUAUAAGGCAAGGAUGCCCUGUAUUUCAAGGAUAGGAUAAGUUUGCACUUGUAUACUGCAACCAUAAUAAAAGGCUUUCUGUUUUUCCCUUCCGUGGAUGUAGCCUUACUCAAGAUGAACCACGUAAAUCUGUUUGUGUGUUCUUUCUCAUCUCUUUCUCUUUCAAUUCUGCUGCAACUUGUGUGUAUGAUAAUUCUGUUCUGCUACAUCUAUUGUUGUUGUUCUUGUUUGUUCUUCAUCAUUUCUCUAACAAAAGAUUAUUCAAAACAUGACUUUUGAUUAGUUAAUAAUUUAAAAUUCAUAUUUUUAUAAUAAAAAAUUUGAAGAUUAUACGCAAGAUGACUCUUGACCAGUUAAUAAUAUAAAAUUCUUAUUUUUAAUUAUAAUAACAAAUUUAAUGAUCGUACGCAAGAUGACUCUUGGACUAGUUAAUAAUAUAAAAAUCUUCUUUUCAGAAAACUAAUAAAAAUCUUCCAAUGAGAAAGAAUAAAAACUAAAGUCUUUUAUUAUUUUUUUUAUCUCUUUCUAUCUUAUUAUUCGAUUUAUUUCUUUCACUUUUCUCAUUUCUGAUACAAACAAAAAUUUUGUACCGGAGUAAUAUAAUUAAUGUAUGCAUAUUAAAAAAACAUUUAUUGAAAAUAAGAAGUUGACAUUUAAAAAAACAUAAUUAAUGUAUGCAUAUUAAUAUUGACUUUCUUCCAAAAGAUAUUUUGAUUAAAAAAAAAAUUGCCCCCUACCUUACUGACGUAGUACGCAACUCCCGAUAAGAGAUUUUAAUAAUAUAAUGACUAGUUCAUCUCAUUCUCAUACUCUGAUUGAUUAUAUGAUUUACAACUUUUUUCUUCCUCAUGGUCGCUUCAACUGAAGAAUGAUCGUUCGCUUUCAAUUGAUCUUACUUAUGAUCACAUCAAAGGGGUCCUCAUGGUACUAUCAUGUUUCUCUGUUUUAAUUCCUACUUUCAUUCCUCUAAUUUUUCUAUCUGUUUUAAUGACUUUUCAUUUUCUUUAUGUUACUUUUGUUAACUAAUUAAUAUCUUUACUAUAUUACUUGAAAAAUGAUAAAUAGAAAAAAUUACUCAAAAUAAGGGUAGGAUGCGUUGGUAAUGCCUUAUUUUUUUCAUAAAACCUGUUUUUUUUGUUUAAUUUGAUUCCUUUAGCAUACAAUAUCGUCUGUUUGUUUUCAUAUACAAGACCGGUAAAUAGGAAGUAGAAAGGGGCAAGUUCAUGAUGUUAGAAGUAGCAAGUAGAGAUGAGGAAAGGAUGGGAGGAUGAAGACAAAGUUUGUGUGGGACCUCAGAAAAACAAAAAUCUCUUAAUUAAUUGGUCUUGGUGGAAAUGAUGAUGGGUUCUAAAUCAAGUGAAAAUAAGGGGUUGUACAGUGCUUUCAUUAUCGGAAAGGCGUGUUGUAAAAUUAUUUUCAGUCGUGCUGUUUUGGUUUGUUUUGUGGCAUUAUUCAUUGUAUCUGUUUGUGGUGAACGCGGUACUUCUGGUGCCUUCUGUUCUUUUGGUCUAAUAAUAAUAAUAAUAAUAAUAAUAAUAAUAAUAAUAAUAAUAAUAAUAAUAUUAUUAUUAUUAUUAUUAUUUAAAAAAAAACAAUUUUAGGUCGACCAAUAUAAUUAAAUAAAUGUAUUUUAAAUUAAAUUCAUUAAUUAUUUUCAAGGUCGUCGUUUGUCUUGAUUACACCAAUCAAUAUCUAAUUAAUAUAGGUUAUUUAAUCUUAUUUUAACUGAGGUCAAUUAGACAUUUUUAUCAUCAAAAUCUUUCUAUCUUCUCUUCUUAUCUCCAUAAAAAAAAAUUAAAAAGUAUUUUACAAAUAAAAAUUUUAUUUUUCCAUAUGCACUAUCUCUGAUUUUUUUUACAAUUGAACUAUUUUAUGUAAGGACAAAAUUAUAUUUAUAUUCAAAAAUAUGAUUUUAUUUCUUUUAAUUUAUUUAUUCAAUCAAAUUGGUCAAAAGCGCUAGAAAAUUUUCUUUUCCUCUUAAUUCUUUUAUUUUUCUCUUAAAAUACUCAACAUAUAAAUUUAUUUUUUUACUCAUUAGUUUUCUCCUUUUUUCUCUACAUUUCUUAUUCGAACAUAUAUAGCCUCCAAUGGCCUUGUUCGUAGAAAGCUUUUUUAUUUUACUUUUAUAUUUUCUCCUUUUUAUUAUAAAAUAUACCUUUUUUAUUUGUUUCACACACUACUAGAAAUUGAUUUAAAUUUACUGGAUGUUAAUUAUUAAGGUAAUAGUGCCACUAUACUAUGCUGCAAUUUUAUUGUUUCUGCUUUCUAGUGAAAGACUAGAUAAUAAUGUAAUAUUUAUAUCAAACUUAAGAACCAAAAAUGAAUAAUAAAAAACAAAUAAAAAGUAUUUUUGUAAAUAAAUGACACAGGAUACUUAAGCUAACAAAUUUCUUAUAGAGCAAUUUUUCGCACAAGAGCUUUACAUUGGUGUACAGUAACUAUAGCAGAUUUGAUAAGGUACCACAGUUGAUUUGUACAUUAUAAAAACAAAACUCUUGCAAAAUUUAUUUUCCACUAAUACUCAAAUACUGAUUUUCUUUUCAGAACAUACUUGCAGCAGGUACAGAUACCACUGCAGCCACAUCAGUUUGGGCUAUGACAGCCCUAGUAAAAAACCCUAGAGUAAUGAAGAAAGUUCAAGAAGAAGUUAGAAAUGUGGGGGGAACAAAAGAUUUCUUAGAUGAAGAUGAUAUUCAAAAACUUCCCUAUUUCAAGGCAAUGAUAAAAGAGACGUUGAGAUUGCACCUACCAAGUCAACUACUUAUACCAAGAGAAUCAACUGACGAGUGCAUUGUAGAUGGCUACCGAAUUCCAGCCAAGACAAUUGUGUAUGUGAAUGCUUGGGUUAUUCAAAGAGACCCUGAAGUUUGGAAAAAUCCCGAAGAAUUUUGUCCUGAAAGAUUCUUAGAUAGUGCUAUAGAUUUUCGUGGACAAGAUUUCGAAUUAAUUCCUUUUGGUGCAGGUCGUAGAAUUUGCCCAGGUAUACCUAUGGCGGCUGUGAUAUUAGAACUUGUCCUUGCUAAUCUUCUGCAUUCCUUUGAUUGGAAAUUGCCGCAAGGGAUGGUAAAGGAAGACAUUGAUGUUGAAGUAUUGCCGGGAAUUACCCAACACAAGAAGAAUCAUCUUUGUCUUCGUGCCAAGACCAGGAGCCAUAUAUUAAUGCUAGAAGGAACCAGUUGUGAUGAAAAUAAUUAGUAAUGUAUCUUCUUCCAUUUAAUUUGCUAUUUUUUUCUUCCACUUAGUGGAGUUAUUAGAACCUUGACAUGGGUUUUAAUGUCUAAAGCAUGAUGUUUCUUGAUGAUCUUGUAAUUUUACAUCAAUGUUGAUGAAUGUGUACUUAUAAAAGCACUUUAACAAGGGAGUUUUUUUUUUUUCUUUUUUCUAGAGUAUCGAAUUAGUAAG
rnacentral:lncRNA from 1 species